rnacentral:rRNA from 1 species
UUGAAAGAAUUAAUGGGAUGCAGCUGUCUCCAGGGGUACUAGUACAAAAUUAGUAAGUAAGUGAAAAUACUUACGGGAAGAAAAUAGACGAGAAGACCCUAGAAGCUUGUUAUUUGUUUUGUUGGGGCGACAGAAUUGCAUGGAACCAAUUUUAUGGAUGUGACGUAUAGCAGGAAAAUUAAGCUACUCUAGGGAUAACAGCAUAAUAAAACUUGUUUGUGACCUCGAUGUUGGACUAGGUAGAAUAGUCCCUAGAAGGGACUAAAAAUGCUCUGUUCGAGCAGCUUAACCUACA